ensembl:lncRNA
UUUCAUACAGAAAGCAACAUUUAUUCAGACAUGCUUUAUGAAGCCACAUGUUAAACCGUGUCAAAAUGUCUACGGGCGUAUAAACCUUAUCAGUCCAAUUAUUAGUAAGAGCAUUUGUACAAUGACAUAUAAUACAUAACAAUAUUACAAAGCUCAACAUACAUUUGCAACUCAGCUACAGCUAUAAGCCAGUUUGAGGGGAUAAAUCUAUUGUUUUUCUACAAUGACGGACCAACCAACCACAAGGAGUGUGUGACAAGAUUAAUAACUUAAAUAUUAAGUAGAAAAUGUGUUAUGUGCAAUUUGAUAUUCAAAAUAACAAUAGAUGAAUUAACAUAGUAUCUACCGUUAGACCUAAUAGUACAACUUUAAACUUUAAAAAUAUAAAACUAAUCAUGUUUACAUAUUUUACUUCCUAAAGUCUUGGACAAGGCAUUAUCAUCCUUGCUGUGCAUUUGUAAAGGACAAAUGUUAGGUAGGAACCACAUUUGAGUUCACAUCAAAAUGGAUCAGAUCCUUCUGUUUCAAUUGGUCAAUACCCAAUACCCUCAAAUCUAUGAAGCAGACCAAGGUUAAACCUAAUGCUAAGAUAAAAUAAGAAAAUACUUGACAAAACAAGAUUUCAUAGCCUUAAAAGCCCCUUUAAAACAAAAUGGAUGCCACGAACGGUCUAAUACCACAGUCCUUCAAAACCACUUAGCUUCUAAGUGUUAGUCUGUUUUAGCACAUAGCAACACCCAGGACUGCAUUUCAGUGUGAUACAAAUUAUCUGGUCUCUGUCUAAAGAGAGAUCUAAAGAAGAGAGUAGAUCUGUCAGGAAGUGGCUAGUUCCUGUGUGCCCUAUUUAAAAGCCAAGUGAACGGGGCUGCUUUCAAGAGCACAGGGGCUAGGUGAGAGUAGAUACAACACAACAUUACUGGGGCUAGGUGAGAGUAGAUACAGCACAACAUUACUGGGGCUAGGUGAGAGUAGAUACAACACAACAUUACUGGGGCUAGGUGAGAGUAGAUACAACACAACAUUACUGGGGCUAGGUGAGAGUAGAUACAACACAACAUUACUGGGGCUAGGUGAGGGUAGAUACAGCAUAACAUUACUGGGGCUAGGUGAGAGUAGAUACAACACAACAUUACUGGGGCUAGGUGAGAGUAGAUACAACACAACAUUACUGGGGCUAGGUGAGAGUAGAUACAACACAACAUUACUGGGGCUAGGUGAGGGUAGAUACAACACAACAUUACUGGGGCUAGGUGAGAGUAGAUACAACACAACAUUACUGGGGCUAGGUGAGAGUAGGCAUCAAGUGUACUCACUUUUACAGUAGCUCAGUAAUCAUACCGCCUACACUCUUAGAAAAAAGGGUUCCAAAAGGGUUCUUUGGCUGUCCCAUAGGAUAACUAUUUUUUGUUCCAGGUAGAACUCUUUGGGUUCUUCUGGGAAAGGGUUCUACAUGGAACCCAAUAGGGUUCUACCUGGAAUCAAAAGGGUUCUUUCUGGAACCUAAAAUGGUUCUUCAAAGGGUUCUCUUAUUGAAGAACCCUUUUAGGUUCUAGAUUUCUUUCUAAGAGUGUAGUUCCUGUUUUGCAAUGUGCCGUCUGAAACCUUUUGUGAAAUGGUAAAUAAUCCUAGCCUGAUAGGUAUUUUCCAGAACAGAGUUAAGGUCACAUUUGCUAUGCAUUUGGAACUGGUGAAAAGUUUGCACCUGUUUUUAAUGGAUGAAACACCAAAGCUACAACAGCGAACUGUCUUCAUUUAUACUUAAUAAAUGAUUCACUUUCUGAACCUUUAUUCUUACCUUUUCAUUUAACCUUUUAUGUCCAAUUCCCGAUGGUAAACUUACUGUGCAAUAUUGAUACCUGAUGUAAAGUGCAAAUGUUGAAUAAAUGGGGCCCUUAGUGGUCAGAAGGGAGGCUUGUAAAAUAGGUGUGUUGUCAAAUUUGAUGUACAUCCUGCCAUUGAGAUUUGGACUGGCAGAGCUUGUCUCAGACAUUUUAUAAAAGCCCUGAAUAUUCUUUUAACACUUGGAAGUAGUUAUUCAAGACAAAUAACUUCUGAAGAAAAUUAUAUUUUCAUGAACUACAUGAACACAACCCACCUCAUACAUGAUUACUACAACUACAUAAACACAACCCACCUCAUACAUGAUUACUACAACUACAUGAACACAACCCACAUCAUACAUGAUUACUACAACUACAUGAACACAACCCACCUCAUACAUGAUUACUACAACUACAUGAACACAACCCA